rnacentral:ncRNA from 1 species
GAGUUCGAUCCGGGCUCAAGAUGAACACUGGCGGCAUACUUAAUACAUGCAAGUUGGACGGGAAACACGAGAAAUGGUGUUUCUAGUGGAGGAUGGGUGAGUAACGCGUAAGAACCUGCCCUUGGGAGGGGAACAACAGUUGGAAAUGACCGCUAAUACCCCGUAGGCUGAGGAGCAAAAAGAGGAAUCUGCUCGAGGAGGGGCUUGCAUCUGAUUAGCUAGUUGGUGAGGCAAUAGCUUACCAAGGCGAUGAUCAGUAGCUGGUCUGAGAGGAUGAUCAACCACACUGGGACUGAGACACGACCCAAACUCCUACAGGAGGCAGUAGUGAGGAAUUCUCCGCAAUGGGAGAAAUCCUGACGGAGCAAUGCCGCGUGGAGGUAGAAGGCCCACGGCUCGUGAACUUCUUUUCUCAGAGAAGAAGCAAUGCCUGUAUUUGGGGAAUAAGCAUUAGCUAACUCUGUACCAGCAACCACAAUAAUACAAAUGAUGCAAGCAUUAUCAAGAAUGAUUAGGUGUAAAGUGUAUAUAGAUGGAUUUUUAAGUCCGUCGUCAAAUCCCAGGGCUCAAUCCUUGACAGGCGGUGGAAACUACCAAGUUGGAGUACGGUAGGGGCAUAGGGAAUUUCUGGUGGAACGGUGAAAUGCAUAGAAAUCGGAAAGAACCCCAACAGUGAAAGCACUCUGUUGGGCCGACACCGACAGUGAGAGACAAAAACUAUGGGAGUGAAUGGGAUUAGAUACCCAGUAGUCCUAGCCAUAAACGAUGGAUACUAAGUAUUGUGCAUAUCGGCAGUACUGUAGCUAACACGUUAAGUAUCCCGCC